rnacentral:rRNA from 1 species
GAGGAGCGGCGGUGGUAGCUGCCGUGAGGGGUGGCGGCGGUAGCUAGGGAGGGUGGCAGCAGAGGGAGGGAGUCUAGUUCGAGGGGAGGGGAGAGGGAGGGUGGAGAGCUUCGAGGGCGUAGGGUGGCGGCACGUGGCACGAGGAGACGUCGAAUAUGUUACUACGUCGGCGGCGACUGAUGGUGCCGUGGAGGAGGGAAGGUCUAGCGCCGGCGGUGGAGGGAGGCCACCUCGUGCGGCGGCAGGUACCGUAGGGGGUGUGGGAUGAGGAGAGCGGGAAGGGGAAAGGGGUAGGUUGGUUUGGUUGGUCGGGUGGGCUGUGGGAAGGAGGAGGUUCUUUCGUUUCGGCGUGGGAGAGGGGAGCCUAGGUACCGCGACGAGUCGCGGCCGCCGGUGCCCGAGAGAGGGUAGCCGCGUGGCGACAGCGGGGGUGGGAGAGGAGAAGGGCUCGACGAGUCCACCGUGGGUCUAGGCGGUGACGACAGGAGAUGUUGGUGCGGGUGUGGGUGCGGGUAUAAUCUUCCUCCUCAGUCUCCAAACCCCGCCCGCACAGCCGCUGACGGAGCAAUCCAUGUAGUAGUGCCACCGCGACGACCGCAAGUAGAUGUGGUACGACAUCGACCACGCCGUGCCGCAGGCCGAGUCGCCGCCGGUCCUGAACGAGGUGCCGCAGGUCAAGCCCUACCUCCACCACUCGCAGGCGGCGUCGUCCCUGCCGCUACGCCCGACCUCCGACUCCGAGCGGACGUGACCGUCGUUCGACCUCCUCGACCGUCGUUGAUCAAGCACGAGUAGAGGCGAGGGAGCCGGAGGAGACGAAGGUGAGGUGCCUGUGGCUGCGGGAGGAGAGACAGCUUCCAGCGGUCUUGGUACUACCGGUCGCGCGCGCACACGCUCCUCUACUGCUGCUGGGGCUGUUCGGGAGGUUUCGGUCCUUCUUCCGGUGGCGGUUCCCGCUGGUCGACGGGGUCGUGGUGGUCGUCGUCAUGGAGGUUCCAGUUACGCCGAUUACUUGCUUACGAUGCUCCUUCUCCACAACUACCUCCACUGUGAGGAGACCGGUAAAGACGCCGAAUACCCUACGGACGAUAGUACUCUAUAGAGGACCCAGCACCACGGCUAGGUUGAACCUACCACCUUGUUUCUUUGUUACUCAAAGACACAUUGUUGAAACUCCUAACCUAAUAUUGCACUUAACCAAAGACUAUUAGACAGUGAGUUCACAAUUAAGAUCAGAACAAACGAGUGUUUAGCUACUAAAAACGAUAAUAAUGUCAUCCGCGUUAGUUGUAAUGAAGAAUACACAAAGAAAACGAUAAUAAUAUCAUCCUACAACGAUAAAAAAAUAAUCUUGUUUGUACUUUAACCAACGAGAUAAUUCUUUGAGUAAAAAACACACGAUAAAGGACCUCGAAGCUCACUUCUCAUCCGAACGUUACGGACGGAAAAAACACACGAUAAGGGAUCAAACCCUAAAAGAGGGUUAAGGAUCCGUGGAUCAAGGAUAUGAUUAUAUGAACAUGACGAGUACGGCGACAACGAUGACUAGAACCGUGUUGUGUUGUGAAGAUGAAGGAUAUGAUUAUAUGAACAUGAUGAGUAGGUCGAGAUGACUAUGUACAAAUGUGACAAUUAAUCCUGGUUUGGUAACACAUCGAACACGAUAAAUAACCUGUAUUACUAGACAAACAACCCCUUUUGGACAUACAAACUAGAAUUAAUCGAAUUAAUUAUGAGGAGCAAUGAUCCUCCUCCACCGGGUAGUUAUUUUUUAUGUGUACUCUCUUAGCACACACUGACGACGACGACACAUGUUGCACCGGGUCGCGGUUGUUUGUUGAAAGGGAAGCACUGAUAUGAAUCGUAAAAAAUCCUUGCGGUGUAAUCGAGGAACUUCCGUAAAAGAAUAGUAAUGGUUCGUAAAAUUUUAGGGAAGAUUACAGAUGGCACGACAGUGUCCGUUCUGAUUGACAUACACUCCGAACACUAGAGCGAAAUCACAAAAUCACGUACAUCACAAGAACGGACAUGAAUACAUCACGGACCUCGUCAAUAUACACAACAAAGGUCGCACUAUCAACAGGAUGGGCAUCAUGAGGAGAUCCUCAUCAACACAUGAGAACACCAAACAGGACGGAUAUCACGUCUCUACCUCAUGAAACAGGACAGACACGUAAGGACAUCAAAAAACGUUAAUUUAAAAGUGUUUACCGGUUUGGAAAGGUGACAAGUAUAAAGGACUUUUUCUUUGGUAUUCGAAAAUUUAAUGAGUAUAACAAGGUGACAAACAUAGUACCUAGUGUGUAUCACGACAAGUACUAAAAACUUUUAACAAAACUCAUGGUACCUCAUGAUAGACUAGUACUCGAUUACUAUGCAGGUAAAACGUAGUACUAAAAUACAGUUAUAAAUAACGUAAUACCCGACAAUAAAGUGCAAUACAGUGUUAUGAAUACCGAUAAGAGAGAGUAAAAUGUUCCAAAUGUACUUCUCCCUCUUACGACCGUCGACCUUAAGACCCGACCUUUUCCUCGUUUAUAACUUCCUGAUAAGAUGCGUUGAGGUUUUCAGGUCUUUCAGGUGCCUUAUGGAAUCUUAUUUAUUUCUUUUUAGCAGCAGUUUCUACUUCCGGUCCCCCGGUGUGGGACGAGUGCCCCCACCCCCCGCGGGGGGACCCGCGCGGGGUGAUGGAGCACCCGGGGGAUCACCGAGAGGCUACGGGUAGAAGAGUGUAUACUUCAGAAAGCUACUCUUUUUUUUUUCCUCUCUUGAAAAGCCCUGCUCUGAGACGGCGGUGCUCCGUCUUGGAACCGCCUUGGUUAGAUCCCGAGGCCGUUUCGACAAGACGGCCCCUGUGAAGGGCGGCCGUCCCCCUUUAGUAGUGGUAGCAGUAGUGGUUAUGAGGAGAGUAGCCCUCUCCCGUUAGAGGUAUUUGUAGAAGUGGUCGUGGUAGAGUAGAGGUUUGGGAUCAAGUACAGAACAUAGGUUAAGAACAGAGGUUCAGGCCCUAACCACGAUCAUCCAACGAUCAUCACAACUAAUGAGAAACAUCAACUACGAUCAACCAAAUAAACCACCUUCUAGUAUACAAGUCUAGGAUAUACGUGUAAUAAUGGGGA